GAACCUUGGAAACAUCGAGGCUCCGUGAGGUGCCCAGACUCCAGACUCGGCACGUGUCACGAGGAAGGGCACAGUCCAGCGGAGCGGCUGGACCUGGAGGUUCACGCCCUAUCUGGGGCACCUUGGCCGUAUUACCUAGCCUCUGUGUCUGCAAGCUUCUUCCUUGCUCAAGAGAUCUUAGCAAAUUUAGAUAGAAAGGCACUUUGUUGAAAAGAGAUUGGACUGUACCCAGAUUGAUGGGAAGACUGGAGAACCACGUUCAGGACAUCAGUGGACAUCCAGGGACACCAGGUGCCCAAGACCACAAUGAGACCACGGCCACGGGAGCGGUCCAGCUGGGAUAAGGCUCCCUGGCCCCCGGACACUGCAUGGCCCCUCACCGUGGGCUCCUCCCAAGACAGGCUGGGCACCCCUCAAACCAUCGGCUCUGCACGUCUCAGGCUGGGCUUUCCAGCAUCGCAGGUGCCCUUCCCCUCCCCCAUGCCUUCGCCCGGGGCCCCAGAGAGGCCUGGAGAUGGCAGCAGGCACAAAGUCCUACAGAAAAAGAGAACAAAGCCUAUCUGGUAUCCGGAAGGAAAAACUUCUUUCAAAUGUGGAGAAGUAACACAAAAAUGUUACAUGUGGGCUACCUAGUCCUAGGCUGAGCCACCUCAUUGCCUGACGACAUUGUUACACUGUGAGCAACACCAAGGCCUCACCUUGAGCAAAGGGUUACAAGGGUUAUGUUUAUACUGGGAUCAAUAAUAAACAGUCCUGAAAAGUGAGAUUUAAAUUCUGCCUUGUGACGUCUUUGAAAAUUCAAAAGGCUUUGUAUGGAACGGGUGUCGGUAGGGCUGGGGCCAAUGCAGAGGAAACACAAGCAGCUAUGAAUGGAGGGUUCAAGUGCAGGGUGACGGGACCACCUGGCUGGAAUGUCCCGGGACAUUCCAACCCAAUCCUUCAUGACUCGAGGCUGAACCGGCUCCAGCUGCCAUCUCUGUAAGAGCAAGCAGUCGCUGAAUGUUCCUGUAUCAACCACCGGCUCCCUUGGAUUACUCUGAACAAUUUCUUUCUUCUUCUUUUCUUUUUUUUUUUUUUAAAUUUUUUUUUCAACGUUUUUUAUUUAUUUUUGGGACAGAGAGAGACAGAGCAUGAACGGGGGAGGGGCAGAGAGAGAGGGAGACACAGAAUCAGAAACAGGCUCCAGGCUCCGAGCCAUCAGCCCACAGCCUGACGCGGGGCUCGAACUCAUGGACCGCGAGAUCGUGACCUGGUUGAAGUCAGACGCGUAACCGACUGCGCCACCCAGGUGCCCCUCUUCUUCUUUUCUUAAUCAUUAAUAGAGUUCCAAGACUUUGUCCCAGUGAAAUUAAAGAUACUUUAUAACAAGAGCACCUGGGUGGUUCAGUGGGUUAAGUGUCCCACUGUUGAAUUGGGCUCAGGUCAUGAUCUCAUGGUUCGUGAGAUAGAGCCCCAUGUCGGGCUCUGUGCUGAUAGUGCUGAGUCGGCUUGGGAUUCUUUCUCUCUCUCCCGGCACCCCUCCACUCCCUCUCUGCCCCUCCCCCGCUUGGAGACACACGCAUUCUCUCUCUCUACAUAAAAAAAACACACACACACAAAAAACCCACUUCAUUAACAAAUAAAAGAUACUGUGAUCCUUCUCUGAAGGUUUCCAUUCUUUGAGAGAAAACUAAGUAGGGACCACAUACCCAACCCAAUAAUGUAAGUUUAUUUACCUAAAAACAGCUGAGGUGGACAGAUGGAGAGAGGAUAACCCCACUGUGGACUCUUUCAGGAAAUGACAGUAAAUUACAUCCAGCAGCUCUUCGUCUCUAGAACCCUGGAGCUGAGCUGGGGUCUUUAGGGCACAGCACAGGCACAGCCGCCUCGUGCAGAAAUUGGCUGACUACGAAGGGAUGGGGGAGCAGGUAUGGAGCAGUGGUCUGGGAGUCUUUUGUCCUGAUGGGUCAGUUCUAUAUCUGGAUUGUCCUGCUGGCUGCACAAAUACCUACUGGUGAUAAAAAUUCGCACAGACACACAUACAAAUGAGUGCAUGUAAAAACUGGUGAGAUGGGAGGGAGUGAGGUCUGCACCCUAGCUAAGUGCUUUGUGCCAAGGUCAAUUUCCUGCUUUUGAUAACUGUUCAGUUAUGUAAGACCUUUGGAGGGCAUGAGGACGACUCUGCAUGAUUUUUGUAACAUUUUGUGCGUCUAUAAUUAGUUCAAAACAAACAGUUAAAAAAAGAAAGCCUUUGGCAAGAGGGCGGGGGGGUCAGAGCAUCAUACACGCCAAGAGGAAGAGCCAGCUUCCCCACAGGCGGCCGUGGUGACGCCUCUAAGCUCCCUUACACGGAGCUCUUUUGUUCUAACGCCAGGGAAGUCUCUGUGCUUUGUUUGGUUUGGUUUUGGUGGAAUGUCAACAGCAGUGGAGUUCUGCGGUGCCUCUGAUCCAACAGCGGAAUCUUUGACCUGCCACAGUUCUCUAUUUCAAGACAAUGCCCUAAAAAAACAAAAACAAAACAAAA